UACGGAAGGCAGCAGUGGGGAAUAUUGUACAAUGGGCGCAAGCCUGAUGCAGCCAUGCCGCGUGUAUGAAGAAGGCCUUCGGGUUGUAAAGUACUUUCAGUCGUGAGGAAGGUGUUAAGGUUAAUAACCUUAGCAAUUGACGUUAGCGACAGAAGAAGCACCGGCUAACUCCGUGCCAGCAGCCGCGGUAAUACGGAGGGUGCGAGCGUUAAUCGGAAUUACUGGGCGUAAAGGGCACGCAGGCGGUUAAUUAAGUUGGAUGUGAAAUCCCCGGGCUUAACCUGGGAAUGGCAUUCAAGACUGGUUAGCUAGAGUCUUGUAGAGGGGGUAGAAUUCCAUGUGUAGCGGUGAAAUGCGUAGAGAUGUGGAGGAAUACCGGUGGCGAAGGCGGCCCCUGGACAAAGACUGACGCUCAUGUGCGAAAGCGUGGGGAGCAAACGAGGGAUUAGAUACC
rnacentral:rRNA from 1 species